UGCGGCCUACGGGAGGCAGCAGUGGGGAAUACUGCGCAAUGGGCGAAAGCCUGACGCAGCGACGCCGCGUGAGGGAUGAAGGUCUUCGGAUCGUAAACCUCUGUCAGCAGGGAAGAAAGGUCACUGUGAUAAUCAGCAGUGAAUUGACGGUACCUGCAAAGGAAGCACCGGCUAACUCCGUGCCAGCAGCCGCGGUAAUACGGAGGGUGCGAGCGUUAAUGGGAAUUACUGGGCGUAAAGCGCUCGUAGGCGGUAUGUCAAGUCAAGGGUGAAAUCCCGGCGCUCA
rnacentral:rRNA from 1 species